ensembl:lncRNA
CACCAAGUGCCAAAUCCCACAGUGUUUUAACAAGAUGUAGAGGUCUUCCAGAAACUGCACAGAACCUCUUCAGAGACAAGAGAUCAAACACGCAGGGACAGCAAGAGGCUAUACUGAAUUGAGGACUGGAUGUCAGAGGUGGAGAUGGCUGGAAACAUGAGACAUGGCAACAGAACCUCUUCCACCGGUAGACUGGUAGGAACAGGCUCAGUUCUGUGGGAGAUGACAGGAAGAAGAGUCUCCAUCACAGGAGUCUUCAGGUUUUGUCAAACAUGAACCAAGCAUGCACACUAAGAGGAAGAGACAGGUGAGAGAGAUUAAAGCACGGUUAUCUGCCAUUCAGAUGUGCAAUCACAGGAGACUUGUUUCUUCAUGGGUAUCCAUAUCUGUUAUUUUGUGAAGAGACUGACAGUUUAUCCAACUCUCAGCCAACAAGCCCUCCUUGCCAGUUAUCCAUGUGGACAGCAAUAAUAGUUCCAGGAGAGGCCCUGAGACCCCAAGAACAUAAAGAGUAAUUUAUUAGUCGCUGCACCUAGGUUGUGAGGGAAAAGCUUGCAAGUCAAGUUGAUGUUCUACCUGAAAGAAGCUGUGUGUUUCUUGCAUGUACAACUGAAGAGAUGUUCUUAUAAGCAGAAGUCUACGCUAAAGGCCACGUCAUGUCCUCUUCCUGGGCUCUCCCAUGCAAAGCCAGACAAAUCUCGUGGUACAAUGCAGUGUAUUUCUUGUUUUUCACAGUCAAGGAAUGUGACUUUGCUAUCAGUGCUGCCACAGACAGAAUGUACACAAGCCCUGGGAACAUCUCAGAGAACAGAAUUUAUCAAGGGAACAUAGGAGUCAUAACAACUCCCAGAGGAGCACCAGUCAACAUUAAAGUGCUCAUGUUGUGACUGGCUGGUGCUGAUGAUGGUGUUUAAGCUUUUGCUUUUCUGUUCAAAGUGUGGA